AGUCUUAUAUUCAAUAAUGAUAUAAAAUUGCAAAUUUUAAGGUGUAAUAAAUACUAAGGCUU
rnacentral:tRNA from 1 species